rnacentral:rRNA from 1 species
CCUACGGGAGGCAGCAGUGGGGAAUAUUGCGCAAUGGGCGAAAGCCUGACGCAGCGACGCCGCGUGAGGGAUGAAGGUCUUCGGAUCGUAAAACUCUGUCAGCAGGGAAGAAAGGUCACUGUGCUAAUCAGCAGUGAAUUGACGGUACCUGCAAAGGAAGCACCGGCUAACUCCGGCCCAGCAGCCGCGGUAAUACGGAGGGUGCGAGCGUUAAUCGGAUUUAUUGGGCGUAAAGGGCGCGUAGGCGGUAUGUCAAGUCAAGGGUGAAAUCCCCGGGCUCAACGUGGGAACUGCCUUUGAAACUGGCAAACUGGAGUGUGUGAGAGGAUAGUGGAAUUCCAGGUGUAGGAGUGAAAUCCGUAGAUAUCUGGAGGAACAUCAGUGGCGAAGGCGACUAUCUGGCACAUAACUGACGCUGAGGAGCGAAAGCGUGGGUAGCAAACAGGAUUAGAUACCCUAGUAGUC